GUAGUGUUUUAAGAUCACCAUCCUCUUCCUAAAUAUUAAACUGAUUUUUUUAUUACACCAAAGUAAAUCAAGUACAUAUAACAUGUCUGUAAGCACUUUUGUAAUAAUUGGGAUAUUUGGUGUUGCAAGCGCAAUUCUGAUACCUCCGUUCUGUGACCUUCUGGUAGUAGAUGCUCCUUUAAAGUGCUACAAUGCCACUGAUUGUGAUUCUUAUAGGGAGUGCCUGCGUCAGAAAUAAAAAUAUUAGUAAGUACCAAUUUAUAAAUCGAUGUUUAUGGCUAUGAUGUUUCGAAGACCUCCAAAAUAAAAACCGUUGUCAGCUACA